CCAGGCGGUGACCUUGCCAAGGUCCAGAGGGCUGUCUGCAUGAUCUCCAACUCCACCAGCGUUGUCGAGGUCUUCUCCCGCAUUGACCACAAGUUCGACCUCAUGUACGCCAAGCGUGCCUUUGUCCACUGGUACGUGGGUGAGGGCAUGGAGGAGGGAGAGUUCUCUGAGGCCCGUGAGGAUCUCGCUGCCCUGGAGAAGGACUAUGAAGAAGUUGGCGCUGAGUUCGACGAGGGUGAGGAUGGUGAUGAGGGUGAUGAGUACUAGAGCUGCUGAGUUCAACGACCUGAUGUACGCCAAGCGUUCCUUCGUGUGAUCUGCCCGAGUGGCUUUAUCUGCUGUCUGUCUGUUUGAAUGUUUGCUGUGUGGUGUUUGGUUUACAACCUGUGGUAUGUUUGAACCUGCUUCGCACCUUGGUCAAUAUGCAUGUUAUCUGGUUUGCCUACACCAUUUCCCUGUUUCAGUAUUUGUAUUGUUCCUUGGGGUGAUUUGGUUGGUGUCGUCGCCUGGAUGAUCCCCUCCUUUAUAUUGUUUCUUCGUUGUGCCUCCCUGAUCUAUGCUGCAAGGGUCAUAGCGAUCAGUGGUGUCCUUGAAAUGCGUCUGUGCUACGCCUGUAACUGUUGUAGCUUCCAGUCAAGUGCUACGCCUGCAUAGCCGUCUGUAGUCCCUGCAUCUGGUCUUUGUAUCCUUUUAUGCGUAGAACCAAAACAGUCAUCGUCCCAUCUCCAACGUCUAGUGCCUGUUGCUUUAGCUGUCGGUCGAAAUCUUCUUUGUCUGAUACAUAUGGUGAU
rnacentral:lncRNA from 1 species